UACGUAGGGGGCUAGCGUUAUCCGGAAUUACUGGGCGUAAAGGGUGCGUAGGUGGUUUCUUAAGUCAGAGGUGAAAGGCUACGGCUCAACCGUAGUAAGCCUUUGAAACUGGGGAACUUGAGUGCAGGAGAGGAGAGUGGAAUUCCUAGUGUAGCGGUGAAAUGCGUAGAUAUUAGGAGGAACACCAGUUGCGAAGGCGGCUCUCUGGACUGUAACUGACACUGAGGCACGAAAGCGUGGGGAGCAAGCAGG
rnacentral:rRNA from 1 species